rnacentral:misc_RNA from 2 species
CCCAACUAUCCCUAUUAAUCAUUACGGUGAUCCUAGAAACCAACAAAAUAGAACCAUACCGUCCUAUUCUAUUAUCCCAUGCUAAUGUAUUCGAGCAAAAAUGCCUGCUUUAAACAAACACUCUAAUUUUUUCAAGGUAAAGGUCCUGGAUCCGCAAGACACCCAAUAAAGGACAUCAAGUUUCUCCAGAAGGUGAGAAAUCAACAGUAACAGUUCAUACCCCUUAAGGCAUACCAUCACGUCAAUCCCGAAAUUCAACUACGAGCUUUUUAACUGCAACAACUUUAAUAUACGCUAUUGGAGCUGGAAUUACCGCGGCUGCUGGCACCAGACUUGCCCUCAA